GUGACUACGGGUUUAACGGCCGCGGUAUUUUGACCGUGCAAAGGUAGCGCAAUCACUUGUCUCUUAAAUAGAGACCUGUAUGAAUGGCUAGACGAGGGCUUAACUGUCUCCCCCCUUCAGUCAGUGAAAUUGAUCUAUCCGUGCAGAAGCGGGUAUACUACUACAAGACGAGAAGACCCUUUGGAGCUUAAGGUAUAAAAUUCAACCACGUUAAACGACUCUAUAAAAAGCAGGAACUUAGUGGCCGUGAAAUUUUACCUUCGGUUGGGGCGACCACGGAGUAAAAAUCAACCUCCGAGUGGACUGGGCCAAACCCCUAGAACUAAGAGAAACAUCUCUAAGCCACAGAACAUCUGACCAAUAAUGAUCCGACUACAAUAGUCGAUCAACGAACCAAGUUACCCUAGGGAUAACAGCGCAAUCCUCUCCCAGAGCCCAUAUCAACGAGAGGGUUUACGACCUCGAUGUUGGAUCAGGACAUCCUAAUGGUGCAGCCGCUAUUAAGGGUUCGUUUGUUCAACGAUUAAAGUCCU
rnacentral:rRNA from 1 species